AUGGAUGAUGAGAGUCAGAUAGGUUUCGCUAAUUAGGCUGAAUUCUUGUGAUGUCACUUCCUCUUGGCUGUCUGACCAA